CAGUAGCCGCGGGAAUACCGAGGGUGCGAGCGUUAAUCGGAUUUACUGGGCGUAAAGCGUGCGUAGGCGGCUUUUUAAGUCGGAUGUGAAAUCCCUGAGCUUAACUUAGGAAUUGCAUUCGAUACUGGGAAGCUAGAGUAUGGGAGAGGAUGGUAGAAUUCCAGGUGUAGCGGUGAAAUGCGUAGAGAUAUGGAGGAAUACCGAUGGCGAAGGCAGCCAUCUGGCCUAAUACUGACGCUGAGGUACGAAAGCAUGGGGAGCAAACAGGAUUAGAUACCCCCGUAGUCCCUGUCUCUUAUAC
rnacentral:rRNA from 1 species